ensembl:snoRNA
GUGCAUGUUGCAGCCUCUCCUGGGCUGCACCCAGUCCGUCUCCCUCUCUCUAUAGGAAGUGCGGACGACUAAGUGACAUGCUAUAGAAAAUCACAUGGAGUUAACAGGGCCACCAGUCUACCAGAGGAGUCUGAGUGGUAGUAUAAUACUCCAACACUG